UUUGAAGAGUGCACAAAGAGUUUAAAUGC
rnacentral:piRNA from 1 species